GCCCGGGUGGCGAAAUCGGUAGACGCAGGGGAUUCAAAAUCCCCCGCUGAAAGGCGUGUCGGUUCGAGUCCGACCCCGGGCACCA
rnacentral:tRNA from 1 species